AACAUCUUAAAAACUGACUUAAGUAUUUGAUCCAAAAAAAAAAAAAACUGAUUUAAGUGUCUUCUCGUAUACUUGAGUAGUCACCUCCAAGUAAUUUUAAAAACGACAAUGCAUUACCGUGACUUGUUAAUUUAAUGAACUGCCACAGAUAUAAAAAUAUUAUAAACAAUAUAGCCAUCAAAAGGCCUCUUUGAUGAGAAGGUGUAAGCUGCAUGUCGGUAUAUGUUUUUUUCUCUGGAUUGUCUUAAUAAACAAACUAGUUAAAAAGUCUUAAUAAACAAAUAGAUCCUGGCUUAUAUGCACAAGGCUCGAAUCUCUUUUAUACCCUCU
rnacentral:lncRNA from 1 species